GAUGAACGCUGGCGGCGUGCCUAAUACAUGCAAGUCGAGCGAACAGAUAAGGAGCUUGCUCCUUUGACGUUAGCGGCGGACGGGUGAGUAACACGUGGGUAACCUACCUAUAAGACUGGAAUAACUCCGGGAAACCGGGGCUAAUGCCGGAUAACAUUUAGAACCGCAUGGUUCUAAAGUGAAAGAUGGUUUUGCUAUCACUUAUAGAUGGCCCCGCGUCGUAUUAGCUAGUUGGUAAGGUAACGGCUUACCAAGGCAACGAUACGUAGCCGACCUGAGAGGGUGAUCGGCCACACUGGAACUGAGACACGGUCCAGACUCCUACGGGAGGCAGCAGUAGGGAAUCUUCCGCAAUGGGCGAAAGCCUGACGGAGCAACGCCGCGUGAGUGAUGAAGGUCUUCGGAUCGUAAAACUCUGUUAUUAGGGAAGAACAAAUGUGUAAGUAACUGUGCACGUCUUGACGGUACCUGAUCAGAAAGCCACGGCUAACUACGUG
rnacentral:rRNA from 1 species